rnacentral:rRNA from 1 species
CCCUUAGAUGUUCUGGGCCGCACGCGCGCUACACUGACGAAUGCAACGAGCUUAUAACCUUGGCCGAAAGGUCUGGGUAAUCUCCAAAUUUCGUCGUGAUGGGGAUAGAUUAUUGCAAUUAUUAAUCUUCAACGAGGAAUGCCUAGUAAGCGCAAGUCAUCAGCUUGCGUUGAUUACGUCCCUGCCCUUUGCACACACCGCCCGUCGCUCCUACCGAUUGAAUGGUCCGGUGAAGCGUUCGGACCGUGGCCUUUGGACGGUUCGCCGUCUGUUGGCUGCGGGAAGUUCGUUAAACCUUAUCAUUUAGAGGAAGGAGAANUCGUAACA